GUAUGUUUGGUUCAAUUUUUUAUGAGGGGAGAGGAGGGGAUUGGUGGUAAUCAAAAUCCCUCCUGGAACACUUUUCCAUUCCCUGCGAAUUGGGGAUUUUCAAAGGGAAGGGGAGGGAGAGGAGUUAUGAUAAAAUAUAUUAUAAAUUAUAACGUUUAUCAAUAUUUUAUUUUCAUUUUAAUAUAUUUUAGAGUAUUUUAAAUAUUAAAUAUUUUGUGUUUGAUUAUCUAUGUUGUU
rnacentral:lncRNA from 1 species